AGAGAGAGAGAGAGAGAGAGAGAGGUGUCUAUGUUCUCAAGAUAUCUGGCGGUGGUAGCGUUCCAGCGGUGAAGGAGGAGACGCUCGAGGUUCUGGGAAGAGAUUGGCUCAAAAGUUUUUGGGGAUUCUCUACAAGCUCUCCUCAGACAGAGAGGUGAGGGGGUCUUCAACGAGAGACAGAAAGGGAGAGAGACAGCGUGAAGAGAAGGCCGUUGGCCAUAGAGAGGAAGGCGGGAAACA
rnacentral:lncRNA from 1 species